rnacentral:rRNA from 1 species
GACGCACGCUGGCGGCGUGCUUAACACAUUCAAGUCGAACGAAGUGGCGAACGGGUGAGUAACGCGUAAUCAACCUGCCCUUCAGAGGAGGACAACAGUUGGAAACGACUACUAAUACCGCAUACUGAAGGAGGGGAUUGCGUCGGAUUGGCUCGUUGGGGGGGUAACGGCCCACCAAGGCGAUGAUCAGUAGCCGGUCUGAGAGGAUGAACGGCCAAAUUGGGACUGAGACACGGCCCAGACUCCUACGGGAGGCAGCAGGGGGGAAUCUUCAGCAAUGGACGAAAGUCUGACGGAGCAACGCCGCGUGAGUGAUGACGGCCUUCGGGUUGUAAAGCUCUGUUAAUCGGGACGCGGUACCGGAAUAGAAAGCCACGGCUAACUACGUGCCAGCCGCCGCGGUAAUAC